rnacentral:tRNA from 1 species
GGGCGCUUAGCUCAGCUGGUUAGAGCGUCGCAUUUACACUGCGAAGGUCUAAGGUUCGACUCCUUAAGCGCCCA